UGGGGAAUAUUGCACAAUGGGCGCAAGCCUGAUGCAGCCAUGCCGCGUGUGUGAAGAAGGCCUUCGGGUUGUAAAGCACUUUCAGCGAGGAGGAAGGUGGUGAGCUUAAUACGCUCAUCAAUUGACGUUACUCGCAGAAGAAGCACCGGCUAACUCCGUGCCAGCAGCCGCGGUAAUACGGAGGGUGCAAGCGUUAAUCGGAAUUACUGGGCGUAAAGCGCACGCAGGCGGUUUGUUAAGUCAGAUGUGAGAUCCCCGGGCUCAACCUGGGAACUGCAUUUGAAACUGGCAAGCUAGAGUCUCGUAGAGGGGGGUAGAAUUCCAGGUGUAGCGGUGAAAUGCGUAGAGAUCUGGAGGAAUACCGGUGGCGAAGGCGGCCCCCUGGACGAAGACUGACGCUCAGGUGCGAAAGCGUGGGGAGCAAAACAGGAUUAGAUACCCUGGUAGUCCACGCUGUAAACGAUGUCGAUUUUGGAGGUUGUGCCCUUGAGGCGUGGCUUCCGGAGCUAACGCGUUAAAUCGACCGCCUGGGGAGUACGGCCGCAAGGUUAAAACUCAAAGGAAUUGACGGGGUCAUAGCUGUUUCCUG
rnacentral:rRNA from 1 species